UCCUGCUGGCUCAGUGGUAAAGAAUCUGCCUGCCAAGCAGGAGACACGGGUUUGAUUCCUGGGUCAGGAA
rnacentral:tRNA from 1 species